rnacentral:rRNA from 1 species
CAGUAGCCGCGGUAAUACGUAGGGUGCGAGCGUUAAUCGGAAUUACUGGGCGUAAAGCGCUCGUAGCCUGGCCGGUAAGUUCCCCGUGAAAUCGGGUCGCCCAACGAUUCGGCUUGCGGGGAAUACUGUCGGUCUUGGGGCCGGGAGACGCCGAGGGUACUCCGGGGGUAGCGGUGAAAUGCUGUAAUCCUCGGGGGACUACCAGUGGCGAAGGCGCUCGGCGAUAACGGGCCUGACGGUGAGGGGCGAAAGCUGGGGGCGCGAACGGGAUUAGAUACCCCCGUAGUCCCUGUCUCUUAUA